UACGUAGGGUGCGAGCGUUUGUCCGGAAUUAUUGGGCGUAAAGAGCUCGUAGGCGGCUUGUCGCGUCGACUGUGAAAUCCCGCGGCUCAACUGCGGGUCUGCAGUCGAUACGGGCAGGCUAGAGUUCGGUAGGGGAGACUGGAAUUCCUGGUGUAGCGGUGAAAUGCGCAGAUAUCAGGAGGAACGACCGGUGGCGGAAGGCGGGUCUCUGGGCCGAUACAUGACGCU
rnacentral:rRNA from 1 species